AUUGAACGCUGGCGGCGUGCCUAACACAUGCAAGUCGAGCGAAGGCAUGAGUGUAGCGAUACACUGAUGUACUUAGCGGCGGACGGGUGAGUAACACGUGGAUAAUCUGCCCUGAGGACCGGGACAACUCUUGGGAAACGGGAGCUAAUACCGGAUGUGACCACGAUGUCUGAGGACGUUGAGGUAAAGGGUGGCCUGCAAGGGCUAUUGCCUUGGGAUGAGUUCACGACCCAUCAGGUAGUUGGGGGGGUAAGAGCCCACCAAGCCGAAGACGGGUAGCUGGUCUAAGAGGAUGAUCAGCCACACGGGAACUGAGACACGGUCCCGACUCCUACGGGA
rnacentral:rRNA from 1 species